CCUACGGGCGGCAGCAGUGGGGAAUAUUGGACAAUGGGGGCAACCCUGAUCCAGCCAUGCCGCGUGUGUGAAGAAGGCCCUCGGGUUGUAAAGCACUUUCAGUGAGGAAGAACGCCUGGUGGUUAAUACCCAUCAGGAAAGACAUCACUCACAGAAGAAGCACCGGCUAACUCCGUGCCAGCAGCCGCGGUAAUACGGAGGGUGCGAGCGUUAAUCGGAAUUACUGGGUGUAAAGCGCGCGUAGGUGGCUUGAUAAGCCGGUUGUGAAAGCCCCGGGCUCAACCUGGGAACGGCAUCCGGAACUGUCAAGCUAGAGUGCAGGAGAGGAAGGUAGAAUUCCCGGUGUAGCGGUGAAAUGCGUAGAGAUCGGGAGGAAUACCAGUGGCGAAGGCGGCCUUCUGGACUGACACUGACACUGAGGUGCGAAAGCGUGGGUAGCAAACAGGAUUAGAUACCCGUGUAGUC
rnacentral:rRNA from 1 species